AUACAGAGGGUGCAAGCGUUGUUCGGAAUCACUGGGCGUAAAGAGCGUGUAGGCGGUGUGGUAAGUCGGAUGUGAAAGCCCUGGGCUCAACCUAGGAACUGCAUCCGAUACUGCCGUACUAGAGUCCUGGAGGGGGUGGUGGAAUUCCCGGUGUAGAGGUGAAAUUCGUAGAUAUCGGGAGGAACACCUGUGGCGAAGGCGACCACCUGGACAGGCACUGACGCUGAGACGCGAAAGCGUGGGGAGCAAACAGGAUUAGAAACCCCGGUAGUCC
rnacentral:rRNA from 1 species